rnacentral:rRNA from 1 species
AUUGAACGCUGGCGGCAGGCCUAACACAUGCAAGUCGAGCGGAUGACGGGAGCUUGCUCCCUGAUUUAGCGGCGGACGGGUGAGUAAUGCCUAGGAAUCUACCUGGUAGUGGGGGAUAACGUUCCGAAAGGAACGCUAAUACCGCAUACGUCCUACGGGAGACAGCAGGGGACCUUCGGGCCUUGCGCUAUCAGAUGAGCCUAGGUCGGAUUAGCUAGUUGGUGAGGUAAUGGCUCACCAAGGCGACGAUCCGUAACUGGUCUGAGAGGAUGAUCAGUCACACUGGAACUGAGACACGGUCCAGACUCCUACGGGAGGCAGCAGUGGGGAAUAUUGGACAAUGGGCGAAAGCCUGAUCCAGCCAUGCCGCGUGUGUGAAGAAGGUCUUCGGAUUGUAAAGCACUUUAAGUUGGGAGGAAGGGCAGUAAGUUAAUACCUUGCUGUUUUGACGUUACCGACAGAAUAAGCACCGGCUAACUUCGUGCCAGCCGCCGCCGUAAGAC